AACGAACGCUGGCGGCAUGCCUAACACAUGCAAGUCGAACGAGACCUUCGGGUCUAGUGGCGCACGGGUGCGUAACGCGUGGGAACCUGCCCUUAGGUUCGGAAUAACUCCCCGAAAGGGGUGCUAAUACCGGAUAAUGUCUUCGGACCAAAGAUUUAUCGCCUUUGGAUGGGCCCGCGUUGGAUUAGCUAGUUGGUAGGGUAAAAGCCUACCAAGGCGACGAUCCAUAGCUGGUCUGAGAGGAUGAUCAGCCACACUGGGACUGAGACACGGCCCAGACUCCUACGGGAGGCAGCAGUGGGGAAUAUGGGACAAUGGGCGAAAGCCUGAUCCAGCAAUGCCGCGUGAGUGAUGAAGGCCUUAGGGUUGUAAAGCUCUUUUACCGGGAUGAUAAUGACAGUACCGGGAGAAUAAGCUCCGGCUAACUCCGUG
rnacentral:rRNA from 1 species